CGCGCGCGGCGGCGGCGGGGGCACGGGUGGCCUACGGGAGGCAGCAGUGGGGAAUUUUCCGCAAUGGGCGCAAGCCUGACGGAGCAAGACCGCGUGGGGGAGGAAGGCCUUUGGGUCGUAAACCCCUUUUGUCAGGGAAGAAACCCUUGACGGUACCUGACGAAUCAGCCUCGGCUAACUCCGUGCCAGCAGCCGCGGUAAUACGGAGGAGGCAAGCGUUAUCCGGAAUCAUUGGGCGUAAAGCGUCCGCAGGUGGCCGAGUAAGUCUGCUGUUAAAGACCACGGCUCAACUGUGGGCAGGCAGUGGAAACUGCGCGGCUAGAGUGCGGUAGGGGUAGAGGGAAUUCCCGGUGUAGCGGUGAAAUGCGUAGAGAUCGGGAAGAACACCGGUGGCGAAGGCGCUCUACUGGGCCGCAACUGACACUCACAGGACGAAAGCUAGGGGAGCGAAAGGGAUUAGAUACCCCUGUAGUCCUAGCUGUAAACGAUGGAGACUAGGUGUAGC
rnacentral:rRNA from 1 species